UACCAGAAUGUGCUGAUCCCAUGGAAGGCUACUCCCGCUAAUCGUUUUUCGCACAAAUCAUAAUUAAAGAGCUCGCUCAACUCUCAAGCAAAUGCGAUCAUUUACUCCACACGGACUACGUGGAGAACAGUUAUAAACGAUGCACCUGUCAAGUAAAGUAUGAGGAGUACCUACCUCAUAGGGAGAAAUGCCUCGCCCCGGUGCGGUGAUAUGUUGGACAAUGGACGCAAUGGACAAUGGACAAUCUGCAACCUACCGGGAUUUAUUCAUCUCCUCGGAACGGUACUGCUCAUUAUUAGAACUGGCGGGGACAUAAACAUUCGGAUGUUGUUGUCAAUAUUGUCCCGAUAUAUAGGGAAGUACGAAUUGUGAAUUGAUCCCUAUAAAAGAAUCGAUUCACUUCAUAACUCCCUAAUCCCUUCAUAACAUUAUCAACUUAAUUUGACGCGUUGCUGUACUGUAUUAUUCGGGGACUAAAGUGUGCAUUUGUGCGCUGUGGUGAUCUUUCAGAGACUGUACCGACUGGAAUUUAGCGACCACUGUCCGUUUUAGAGACCGUACGGUCGGCGGCGGGCGUCCUGAUCCUCGCCUGGGGCGGAGAGGGGAGCGCGCGUCCCCCUCCGCCGCAUUCCGUCCGUCCCAUUCACUGCUCGCUCGCGGUGUGCGGAGAGCCGACGGAAGUGUCGAGUGUGUGCCGUGCGGUGUCGUCUGCCAUCUCUUCUUCCGACCUGAAGGAACACAGGAUGCGAGGAUCGUCGGGCGACACUACCACUCGAGAUUCGUAGAUCGAUGGACGGAGCGGCAGCCGCGACGCGACGACGUGUGUCGUAAUGUGACGGGAUGUGACCCGGAAAUGGCUGUGUAUUUAUCCCAGAAAUACAUUUAUUCCGAA